GUGCUCAUUCAAGAUGGUUGCCCGUUUAUGCCGCCCUGUUGGACGGCAGUGAACGGGAGGAAAGUCCGAACACCCUAUGACAACGCAGGUCACAUUGACAGUCCCCGCGUUGAUUGUAGAAGCAGGUAGUGGGUAACGCCCACCCUUUGCAUGGCAACAUGCCGAGCGGGAAAGUGCCACAGAGACAAUACUAUCCCGAUUUAUCGGGAGAAAGGUGAAACGUGUUCUGAUAUAUAAGACGAUAGAAGGAAUUCCUUGUCUUAUGUUACAGAACUCGGCUCCGUGUAAACGGAUGCCGUGGUAAACCCUGCCUGGUGCAAGUGCAGCGCUCCUUCGCCCUCCUACGGAGGGCUUCGGAGGCGCAGGCGUUCGUAGAGUGCCUGCACUACGAAGCUUUAGCGAAGUAGUGAAAAGUUCGCACGCAUAGAACUGCGGGAGCAAUCCCGUGGUCAAGAGUGAUAACCAUCACCCAUUGUCUGGGAACAGAAUUCGGCUUAUUGAAUGGGCACCGUA
rnacentral:RNase_P_RNA from 1 species